rnacentral:lncRNA from 1 species
ACAGCUCCUUUUGCAGCAGCACCAGCAACAGCUCUUCCUGAUGCAGCAGCAGCAACUCCAGCUCCAACAACAGCAACAACUGCAACGGCAACAACAGCAGCAGCAGCAACAGCAGCAGCAGCAAUCGCAGCCAUCUGCCCACCACCAAUCGCCUUAUAAUCUCCUGCAGCAGCAGCAGGCCAUGUCCCGCUUCCCCUCCAACAUCGACGCCCACCUCCGCGCCCCCGGCCUCCGAUCCCUCCAGUUCCAGGCCCCUACUCCUCCGCCGGCGCAGCCCUCCUCCUCACAGCCGCCUACCUCCUCCAACCUCCACCACCAUGCUUCGCAGUCCCAGCCGGCGAGGCCAGCGGCGACAGGGGUCGGGGUCGGCGUCGGGAGGCCCGGGAACCCCUUGGAGAUUGAGAUGGCGCAGAAGGACGCCUUGAUGGUCUGCAACCCCGACUUCAAACGCCCCUUCGCCUCCGUUGAGGAUGCCGUGCUCAGGUAUGCCCCCUUUCUAGGGUUUCGUUUCUUUUCCUUCUUCUGUUGGAUCUUAGAUCUGUAGCUCCCUUGCGAUCUUAGGGUUUCGUUGCCUGUUCGCCUUUUUCUUCUAAAAGGAGGAUUUUGGAGUUUGAUGUUGGUAGAGGAAAUAAUUACGGUUUAUAGCUAGGUUUUAAAAGGGUUGGGGAAAUUAGGAUCUACAGAUCGAUAUAACGGAGGAAUAGGUGGGGCAUCUGCAGAGAGUGUUGGUCGCUCUACUGGAACUCAACAUCUGUCUCCUGAAUUUUGCUUAAUUAGCAGCAAUAUUUGCAUCUUGUUUACUGAGAGGUAGCCAGAUCGGGAGGUAACAAUCAAGCCAGACUGCAAGAAGUAGGCAUUUCUCUAAAUUCCAGGAAAGCAGCUAUUUUUCUUGUUCUAACCAACGAUGACAAUCUUUUGUACCACAAGGAAGCUAGUGGCAUCUUUAUGGCCAAUUUAGUAAGAAAUUAUGGAUUAGACACAGCCGGCCAAGCUAGGGUGAUAAACUGAUCCAGAUUAUAGGGAAUCCUUUAUGUUCUAGUCAAGCUACUUUUGUCGUAGAAAUCAUGUCCUUUCUUGUUGGUUAUGAUGUAAAUCUUGGGGUUUGGGUUCAGAUUGUUUAUCCAACAUCCUCAGUGUUGCCUAGGAAAUUAAUAGAUUGCUCAAACACCAUGGUAUUUUUUUUAGAUAAUACGAGUGCCUGGCAUGGAUACUACAUUAAGAUGAUCUUUCAUGCAAAACAUCUCUUGUUAUGAUGUAAAUUUUGGGGUUUGGGUUCAGCUUGUUUAUCCAACAUCCUCAGCGUUGCCUAGGAAAUUAAUAGAUUGCUCGAACACCAUGGUAUUUUUUUUAGAUAAUAUGAGUGUCGGGCAUGGUUACUACAUUAAGAUGAUCUUUCAUGCAAAACAUCUCUUGACAGUGAGCUUCAUCAUGUUAAUCUUCUUUAACCUUUAUAGUUAUCUUUGACAUUAAAGAAUACCUUCAGGGUUUAUCUUGCUGCUUCAUUUCUGAAAUUUAAUCUUUCUGGUAUCUUCUUUGAACAAGUAUCUCCAUAGUACCACUGUCAAGUGUUGAGUGUUAAGUUCCACAUUUGUCAACUUUGUGCAAGAUUAAAUUUAGUGUCUGUAUACAAAUUGCUUAUUAAUUGAGACAAUACGAUAGGGAGGUUUGAUUGGAUGAUGAGGAAUUACGGGAUUCACUUGCUUUCUUACUUUUUGUCGUUAGAACAAAAAGAAGGAAAAAACUUUCUUACUUUCAUUAUUGGAACCGUAACAAAUGAAAUAUUGGUUAAGAAAGCAAAUAACAAUUUUUUUUUGGUAAAGCAAGCAGGCUGCAUUAUAAUAUCUAAAUGUUUGGUUGUUUGGUUAAGUUUUUAUAGUCUACAUGUUUGAUCAAAAGCAAUCUAGUGUGCCUCUUCCAUUCCCUAUCUCUUUUUUUCUUGUUGCUUAACUCCUUUAUCACAUGUUUGUUGAGAGUUUGACAUUAUCCAAAAAUAUGGAGAGACCAUGGCUAAGUUAUUUGCAUGGAUAACUGGCCACCAAAAUGACUUCUACUGUCAGUGUUCUGUAGUAUUCCAAUAAUUACUUCUUCAGUUACUGAAAAUGAUUAUGUACUAACACAAUUUUAAGUGUUUGAGAUUAAGUAGGUAUGUGAACCCAAGGUAUUCUGUAGGCAUUUAGUUGGGCAUCUAGAUCUAGGUUGUUCUCCCCAGACUAUACUGCAUGUUAACAACUAGAAAUUUUGCUUUGUAAAUGAGUGCAAAUGGUUCACAUAUAUACCUUCACCUCAAGCUAUGUAUAUUUCGGAAAAAAAAAGGGUCUUUCUCAUUAAGUCCAAUGAUGAUGCCAUUCUUCACUGAGAUAUAUACAUGAUUUCAUGAGAAGAAACCUUUGUAAGAGACAAAGGGCACAAGGUUUAAUAUGUAAUUGGUCCAUAGUUUAAACUGCUAAGUAGAAAUAUUUGGGAUAUUGGAAGAUAUUAAGGCAAGAUUAGAUGUUGUUUCAGUAAUUUAAUACGGCUGAUCCAUUUCUUGCAGCUUUCUCCAGCAUCACUAUCUGGGAAGCUUUACACUUUUGUUGUGUACUUAAGGAUUACUUGGUGUUUAUAAUACUGUUGGAAGUAUUUAUACUUGCAUGUGGAUUAUAUUGUUUUAACUUUAUUAGUUUUUCAUUUUUAUAAUACUUGUCAUAUACUAUUUUUAUAUAGUGACUUGUAGCAUUCUGUUGAGGAAACCACAAGACUAGAUAAAUUGGAAUUCUCAUUAUGUAAAAGGUGUUUUUAUUGAUCUUUACCAUGAUCAAGUCUUUGACAGAUCAGAUUACUGUCUUGCACUGAAGUCUUCUGUAUGACUGGUUUAUGUUGCUCUAAGACCUGAGAUUGAGAAAACAGUAAAUUAAUAACUUUGCAUAGCUUCUAAGGUGUUCAUUGCACUUGCAUUCUACUUACAUCUGUCACUUCUUCUAUUUUUUUUUCUUUUUUGAGAAUAGUUUUUGCUGCUGAGCUUUUUAUUGUUGUGGACCAUUUCAUCGACUACUAGCAUAUGGCUUAUUAUGUGGAAACUGCAUGACUUUGGACCGAUUGAUUUUGCAGUCCAGAAAUAGGACUCAUUUGAUCGUUUGCUUCUGACUUUUUAGGCUGCUGCCAUACCAUGUGGUAUCUGAUUAUGAAGCUGAAGAAGAUGACAGGAUCCUUGAUAGUGAUACCACUGGUCAUAUAUUUUCACGGAUCCAGCAAUGGGACCACAACGUUCUCACAAAGAUUGCAGAGUUUACCACUACAUUUGAGAAACAAGUCCUUGCUUUCAACAUAAUGUCAAGAAAGAGAGCACAAGGAGAAUUCAGGUCAGAGGAGAGGCUUAUGAUGGAGCAGUUUUUAAUGCAAGAAGAGAAGCAAGCUCUGUUAGGAAUAAGAGCAGAAAUCGAAUCCAGAGAGAAGGCUGGUAGGGAAGCAGCAGAGGCCAAGAUGCGGAUGGCAAUGGUUCAGGCUGAACAUGCUAGAGCAGAUGCCCAGGCCCAUGCAGAAAUGUAUGUUCGUGCCCCAGUGAGGGCUGGCGCUGCUGGUUCCCUUGGUGACGAGGUUUCUGGCCAUGAUAUGGGGCAAGAACAGGCAGGUAACAUGGACGAAAUUCAUGGGUGGGGAAAUGCUCAAAGAGAGGAUGAAGAGCCAUCAGAGGAUUUUUUGAAUGAUGAGAAUGAACCUGAGAAUGGAGACACCGGAGAACAAGGUGAAUGGCGAGAAGCUGGGGAGCUGGACUUGAACACUAGGUGAUGAUAGGAUAAAAUCCUGGCUACUUUCCAGUUUGCAUUUAGUAGCUUAUGCACAGAGGGUUACAAAGUCGCUAACUUGACAUGAUCAGAUCUGUUUGUUUAUGGAGUUCUUAGACUACGUUUGUGAAAAGAAAGAUUACCUCUUCCCAAGCAAGAGUGUGGCUCGACUGCUGGAUCUGAUUCGAUUUCAUUUCGAGCAGCUGUUUUUAUCUUGGAGAUAGUUUUCCGGCAGCACGACCAGAAAGUUAACAAGGUCAUACCUUUUAACUGCUUUUGUGCUAUGAUCAAACGCUGUGCUGCUGAAACUGAACUCAUUUUACUUUCUAGAUAUUACUGGUAGGAAAUAGUUGAAACGAUAUCAGUGAAAAAUUGUCAUCGGUGUAGACGGACCGAUUGCUGAUUACUUAUCUAAGUUAUAUGUUUAUUCUCGGCACCCAACUUGGGGAUUUCUAGUUGCUCUGUGUCUGUACAUUAUGAAGUAUUAGUUCUACGGAGAACUUAGUGUUUCUUUCAUAUCUCGUACUUGAAGCAGAAAUAGAAGUCUUCAUCAACACAACGCAGCGCAUGUCCGCAAGCGUUCAAGCUUCGGCCGGCCUUUUGAGUUCAGAAGGACCUCAUUGACGAGAGCUUUCUUCCGCGCAGAGCCUUUCAAUGUAUAUUUCAUGCUUUUCUUGGUGGGUGUGAAUGUCAUAUUCUGUUUCUACCUUUUUGUAUUAUUAUUAUUUUAUCAUAGUUAUGAAACCCAAAUCAAACUGUCUUAUCGGAUCGAAGAAAAAUCAUCUUUUCAUUAUAUUAUAAAAUUAAUUUUAUCAAAUAUUAUAUAAUUAUAAUUGUUUUAAUAUUGAAUAUAUCAGUUUACUAAUUGAUCUAACAGAUUCUUGAUUCCGUUACGAUAAAUCUCUUUUGUGUUGGGUUGGGCUUCUUUUAAUGGGCCAUCACUCGAGUUUCAUUUCAUGGGUGGGGAUUAGGUCUUCCGUUAUGCCCUCAUAGUUUGCCGAGGGUUUUGUGUCGAUGUAUAUAAAAUGCAAGGAAACCCUUUAUAGCGAAGAGGACGUGCUCAUUCAUCUCCAUCGGCUUCACUCUGUCUCUGUUAAUGGCGGCUUCCCUCCCAUUCCUCGUAAGCGCUCUCUCCCACACCCCAGUUCUUCUUCCUCCUUCGUGUGUUACUAAGUGUUCUCUUUUUCUUUUAUCUUCUACUUCGCAGGCGAGCGUCCGUCCGGCGAUCGUCGCUGGGUCGAGGUCCUUAGGACGGACGCCUCUGUUGAGCCCGUACCGAGCCUUUCUCGAUUCCCGGAAAUUCUCGUCCGCCGCCGCUCUCUCCUGCCCCGCUGGCUUGUUCCCCUCUCCCUCCUCGCGGUCCACCGCCCGCUUCUCCACCUCCCCUCGUGCCGAACUGAAGGUCCGCCAAUCGAUAUCAGGGCUUUUGUUCUUCUUUCUCUUUGUUCCAGCUGGAAUUGGGCUUUUUCUUCGAGCUUCCUGCAACCUUGCAUUGCAGUCGAUGCGCCCCAAUUUGGUUCCAUGCUAUAAUCACAAGUCACGGUUGAGUUUAAUUGGACUGGGAUUGAGGUCAUAGGGGUAUUGGCUUAUAUUGCACUAAACGGAAUGGGUUCUUGAUUGGAAUUAUUUUGAUUUCAUGACGGCGGUGUUUCGGCAUCGUUGGAUUUCGUUUGCAGGUUUCUGACUUGCAGUCGACGGUUACCACCAAAGUGUUCUUUGAUAUUAGCAUUGGGGGUCAUGUUGGACGUAUCGUGAUAGGUCUCUAUGGGGAUGAUGUGCCCCAGACGGCAGAGAACUUCCGUGCUUUAUGUACAGGUAAAUCACUUGUACCUUCUGUUCAUAGUUCUUUCUACAAUGGACCAAAAUUUCCUUGCAUUUUCUUAUAGCAUUAUGUUUCCAUCAGGCGAGAAGGGCUUUGGGUACAAGGGAUCUGCAUUUCAUCGUGUCAUCAAGGAUUUCAUGAUUCAAGGGGGAGACUUCGAUCAGGGAAAUGUAUGUGCUUCUGUACCUUCUACCAUGACUUUUAUGUGAAGUUCUCUUUUGACACAUGAUAGCUCUAGGAUGUUAUUGUUGUUUAGGCAUUGACAUUUCAGGAAAAUGGUACUAGAUUAGGUUUCUUUGAUGCAUUGAUAAGACGGCUGUGCAUAAAUUUAAUAAUGGUAAGGUCCAUAAGGGACAACUAGUAAAUUUUGAAUUUAAUUAUUCUAGUCUAUAAUUGCUAUCUUGGUUCCAUUGGUCAGAUUCAACGAUGAGGAUCAAAACAUUUGUCACUUGUAGAAGUAAAAAUUAGCAAACAAGUCAGUUCAGAUGUAUGUUAUUCAAGACCAGUUAAAUGGGGUCCAAUUUUAUCUAUUUUCAUUUAGAAGUACAAAGUCUAAAAAUAUAGAUGUUAUUCAAAUCUAAUUUUCAUUCAAAAAUAAGUUAAUUUAAAAUAUACAAGGUGAAGAUUAUCAGCUUUUAGGGUGUGGAGAGGACCUAAAGAUAUUUAGCCCAAUCCUACAAUGCAUUUUUGCGGUCGAAUAAGGGAUUAAGAAGCUACAUUCAGGUGCUGAAGAGGAUCAAGAAGAUAAUUUUAUUUGAUCCUACAUCAGCACUUCUCCGAAUGGAUAUCUCAAGCAAACAAACAUUUUAUCUAUUUCUUGAUCUUAGAUGAUGUUCGACAAGAUCUUUCAACGUUUGAAGGUAAAGUACUGACAUAGUGUUGGUGAUCUUCUUCUGUAUGUUGAUUCGGAAAUCCUCAUAAACAUGUGAAUGUUACUUUGAUGAACAUAUAGAAGAUUCUCCAAAUAAAAAUCCAUUUGUUGGUACUCAGUCAUGAAAAAUUACUAGCUUAACGGUUACUGCAAGCCAACCAUAUGCUUAGAUAAUCAUGGUAGUAGUCAUGCUGAUUGAUGAUGCGGUCAUCUUAGUCGAGACACCAAUUGGCCUGUAUGUGGACUGUAAAUAUCAAGUUCAUUCUGGGUAUAGCUUUUUGUUGAUUUACGGGUAGCUUGGGAUGAUUUCACUUGGCCUUUGGUCAUGGAUUAGGAGACUGGGGAGAACCAAUUCAUUGGCUUUCGUGUUCCCUCCAUAAACUUUAUUUUCUGAGGCCUUUUGAUGGAAACUGGAACAAUCUUUGGAUUUGAUUACCUAAACAGAGCUCACUGGAGGAGGAAUAUGCUCUAAUCAAUACUUUUAUAUCCUUUGUCAACGAGAACAAGCAUAAAGUUACUAUUUAGUGGAUCGUCAUUCUGUGGUUAGUUAUCCUGGUUGCUUCAUAUUUGAAAUUUUGAUUCUUGAGAAGCUGAAUAACAUGAUGAUAGAAACCUCCCUUAACAAUUAACAGUUCCUUGUAUGACUUAAUUGGUUUGCAGUAUUUAUUUUUAUCACCUAGUUGCUUCCACGAUGUGAUUGUGAUAAGAAUCAUCAGGAGACAUGUGGUUGGAAAAUGCAUUUUGUAGUUGGGGAAUUUGUACAUUUUAAAUUUGCUUCCUGGUGUUCAUUUUCAGUUUCAAAGAACUUAGUUGGCGUUUUUAUACGAAUUCAGAGAAAUCUUUGAUGAAGAUUGAAAUCAGAUAAAUAAUUUCACUGUAUGUUUAUAUAAAAAAAGCCAUAUUAUUUGUUUGAUAAGGGAAAGCUUAACUAAACACGUGAAAAAUCUUGUUUGUUUCUCAUGGACUACUAAGUUUCCUUCACUUUAACAUGCAAAAGAGAGAUCGACAAGCGAAGUAAGUUGGAAACGAACAAAAGAAUAGGGGUAGAGUUGCAUUAUAAUCAGUCCUCUUGAUGUGAUAAGGAAGAAGAGGGAAGAAAGGGGGGAAGGAUGGGGCGAAAUGAAUUUUGGCUAAUUAAUGAAUGACAGUUGCUUAUUUUCUUGUAUGUUUUGACUAGUUCCUACUUGCUUGAAUGAUCAUCUUAGAUUGAAUUUACAGUGGAGCUUUUUCUCUCUCUCUUUUUUUUGGAGAUUUCUUAUUAUGCUUUAUUCAUUAAGAACAUUAGAAUUCAGCCUAGAAUGAAUUUAUUAUCAAACAUUAGAUGGGUUUCCUUGCUCUGUGUUCAACAGAUUAUCUCGUGUUGUGCUUAGUUGUUAUUUGGGAUCUGUCUUCCAUCUUAUGCAUUUUGAGUUGAUUUAGUUCCCUGGAAACUACAAGUUAGUGUAAUCUGUUUGUUCAAUUACAUAGCUGCAUAAUUGAUUUAUUUUUCUUCCCAUGUUGCUCUGGUAUAAAGCUAAAGUCUCAAAUUACCAUGUCUGAUCAUUUUUUUUAAUGAUGUUUCUUAUGCGUUUUAUUCAAUUGCACAAGUCAUGCAUGAAUGGUUUUCAACAGUUUUAGUUGAAAAUAUAGUAGUGGUUAUACCUAAAAAGUGACAUCAUCUUUUUUAUUCUUAAAAUUUGUUUAUCGGACUUCAGGGAACUGGUGGCAAAAGCAUAUAUGGCCGAACAUUUAAGGAUGAGAACUUCAAAUGUAAGUUAAAUUUAUUCAACUGUUUGUACUCAAAGUUAACCAAAACAAAAAAUUUUCUAAUCUAAGAAAAACUUUUGUAGUGACUCAUUUGGGACCUGGAAUUGUGAGUAUGGCAAAUGCAGGACCUGACACCAAUGGAAGCCAGUUCUUCAUUUGCACUGUCAAGGUAACUCAGCUUAAUCAUUGAAACUGAUUCCAGCAUCUGGUUCUGGCCUUACGAAACUGUUGAUGCAUUUUAUUUUAUCAUAGCAAUCUAGUUUAUAAGUUGAAUUUAGUUUACAGUUAAGGUCUCAAAUUGUGCACAAAGUUGUUGCUUUUUCAACAGGACAUGAUCCAACAGGACUUUAAAGUUUUAAAAUCCUCCUCUAUCUUCACAUUCAUCAAAGUCUAAAACGUUUCACUCUUUAAAAGACCAUUUGGUCUAUUGUUGAUGAUUCUUUUUUAUUUGGUGAACAAAUUCCAGCUUUAUACCUAUUUACACACUUUGCUAGGUAAUAUAUUCAUGAUCUUCGUUUUCUUUUCCCCUUAAUUUGAUGUUUGUCACUGCUGCCAUAACUGUUGUUGUUUGGGGUGGACAAUUAGUCACCUCGUGAACCAACCAAACCCAUCUGUCCAUAUAUGUGGUCCUUCAACUAUACAAGGGAAACACCAUAGCAAAAUUCAUGGUUAGGUCAUUGGAUAGCUGUCGGGCGGUCUACUGAAAGAAAGUAAAUAUUGAGAUUUUGAUUAUUAUCUGCAGUUAAUAAAGGUUUUCAGGCACUGAUCUGGAUAGUUAAGUUCAAAAAUAUCAUCCACGCUAAAAAAAAAAGAGAAAAGAUUAUCUAAGUCAAAGCAAUAAUCUUUUCUGCUUUGUUCCUCCUACCUGUGCUUGUUCCAUUAGAAGUGAGACAGCAUAUUUCUGAUUCUAAUGCAAAUAAAUCUGAGUAUGACCUCUGUAAUUACUGAUUUCUGUGCAGACACCAUGGUUGGACAAGCGGCACGUUGUGUUUGGUCAAGUUCUGGAGGGAAUGGAAGUGGUAAGGCAAAUCGAGUCACAGGAGACUGACCGUGGUGAUCGCCCUAAAAAGAAUGUCGUCAUUAGUGACUGCGGCGAGCUUCCAUCGGUCUGAGUGAAAGAAUACCGUUUUAUCAUGCACUGGGCAGGAUCAUAUCUGCUUUUCGUAGUUCUAUUAUUUUAGAUCUUUUGAACUAGUAUCUGGUAGAUGACUCGUGUUUCGGGCUUUUAUGAGCGCUAAUUAAUUGGAUGGUCUUCAGCCCUAUAUUGUUGGAGCAUCAAGGCAAAUGAAUGUGAUGACUGUCGCAUCUUUCUGAAUUGUGGCAGAAGCUUCAUCGAAUAGAUUUCGUUGCGAGGUAUUCCAUUUCUUUGUUUCUGUUAAGGGGAAGACUUUUUUGACUGCUCUUGUUGAUUCUGUUACGAGUCUUCCAUGAAUGGAUGCGUGGAUAUUGCCUCCAUGUUGUUGGGCAGGACAGUCGGAUGAGACCCAUUUGGGAAGAGGGUAGGAGGUCGAGAGAGUAGAGAGGGAGGCCAAACCCAGUUUUGCCUGUGACUUUGGAAGUAUACGAGGCAAAACAAACAGCGUCACAUUGUGACACGUAGUCGCAUGGAUUUUUGGGAAGUGAGAAGUAGAUACAUGAUGCAUGCACCACAUAGAAACAUAGGAGAUGCGUAUAUGAUGACACAGUGAUUGACUGAAGGAAUUCGAGAGGAGUUUAGGAGUAGUCUGGAAUUUGGAAUGAAAGCAUGUCUAGAGAUUAUUUUCUAACUAUUGAGUAGCAUAAAAUAUUCUUUCUAGAUGCCAUACUCACAAGGCAUGAUAUAUCCAAUCGACACAUUACCUUUGUAAACGCAAACUAAACUUCCUCAAAGUGAUCAGCACUAAAGAAAGAAGAAAAUAAACAUGAUAGGAAUGUUCAGCCCAGCUGGAUCAAUGGCCUUCUCAUCUAUAAAUCACAAGAAAUCUCACACUAGAGGAAGAAACCCAACUACAACGCUUAAAGAUUCUAACCAACCUAUAAAACACAGUUCCCUUGUGCUGUCAAAAUUGCAGAUUACCAACAUAUUUUUCUCUCUCUCUCUAACACACACGCAGACAUUCCUCACUAUUCAUGAGAAUUCUCGCCAAAUAUUAUUGCACUACUGUGAAUCUCUAAAUUAUUUAUUGGGAGGUUCUGCUCAAAUGACAGCAAAAGCAAUUUACGCAUCUGAAGCAGUGUCUCCCCAACGGACGUUGUAAUUCGCGGCAAGGUAGUGUGCUCCUGCUGGCCCGCAACUCCCGUAAGGGUACAAUUCGGGGGCUAUCUUCUUCUCCUCCAACUCUUUGAGCAGCGGCGUAAACAGCUCCCAAGCAGCAUCCAGUUCAUCGGAACGAAUGAACAGCCUUCGUUCACCCUCAAUGGCAUCAAGAAGCAGCCUCUCAUAUGCAUCUGGUAUCUCUUUCGAGUAUCUACCAAAAGCCAAAAGAGUUUCAGAUGAUGGGUAAUGACACGGCUCUGAACUACCAACUUUAUACAACAAGCAAGUAAAUAUGACAUUAUUCUUGAUGAUGAUGAUGACAGUUAAUAACCAUAACAAUUGUGUCAGAGCAUUUCUCUUAGCCCAGUCUACUAUUAAGCAUGUACUAGUCAUCAUAGAAUCUCAUGUGGAGCAUGUAAGGGCCAUGAUCUGGAGCAUUUUCACACUAGCUUAUCAAGCAUGGAUGGAUGUCAUUGGUUUAAAAAGGAUGAUUUCGACCAAGGUUCCAACGUCACCGGAAUAGCUAUGACAAUCUAGGGAUUGUCAUUUGUCAUCAGAUAUUAUGCAUUCCAGGGAUUGGCAUAAUCUUUCCUUAUAAGAAAAACAAAAACUUGUACCUUGAAGCAUAAAGAAGAUUCAAGUUACUGCGGUCCAAUCUCAUCCCCAACCCAGGAAUCUUGUUAUUGAUCUUUAAGUAAAUAGCUUCAUCGGGUUGUACCCUGAUGACGAGCUCGUUUGUAGCUCGAUCAAGAUCAGUUCCAAAGCUCCUCUUAUAUAGAUUACCAGGGACAUGGCGAAACUGAACUCUAAUCUCUGUUCUGCAAAUGGAAAUUUCCAACACAACAUUAAUUAAAGAUGUUGAAUUUCAAUUGAAACUUACAAAAAUCACAAAAGAAAUGCAUAAAUACUCAUUUACAACCUACCGUCGAGUUUCCAGUGCUUUCCCAGCCUUCAUGAGGAAUGGAACUCCAUCCCAUCUUGCAUUAUCUAUGAAAAGGGCAGCUGCAGCGAAUGUUGGAGUAAGGCUGCCUUUGGGUACAGUCUUAUCGUCUGUGUAUCCGGGGUAUGCAACUCCACCCUUCGUGUGGCUCCUAUACUGACCUAUCACCACAUUUUCCAAUUGCAAUGGCUUCAUGGAACGGAGGACUUUCACCUGAAGUGAAGGAGAAAUUUAUCUAAGAGACAGAAACCAAUAAUAUUGAGUUUCAUCCAAUAAAAGAACAAUGCACGAGUUAUGAGUCUGAAUCCAAUGGAUCACAUCUAGGACUAUAACUUAAUGGAAAAAAGGUCUCGUCAUAUUUCCUUGUACAAACCUUUUCGUUCCUGAUAUCUUCUGCAUCUAAACUGACAGGAGUUUCCAUUGCAAAUAAGGCUAAAAUUUGGAGCAGAUGAUUCUGCAUGAUAUCUCUAAUAAUACCAUAGUUAUCAAAGUACCUGCACAGUACAAGACACAGGUUACUGGAAAGCUCAUCAAUAGAUGACUAACUUCAAUGGAUAAUAACAUCAUCUAAACCUUACCCUCCCCGUCCUUCUGUACCGAAGUCUUCAGAGAAAAUCAGCUGCACAUUCCUAAUAUAUUGCCUAGACCACAACGGUUCAAAUACAAGAUUCGAGAAACGAAGAAUGGACAGAUUUUCGACAAGUUCCUUUCCCAAAUAGUGGUCUAUUCUGUAGAAUGUUAAACAAUCAUUGUAAGGAAGAUGUUUUCAUGGGAUAUCGAACAUGAAUAUCUUCAUGUAGGAUGUCAUGUCACCUGAAAAUUUGAUCUUCAUCAAGGUAUUGUUUCAGGCCUCUUGUCAAAGCAGCAGAAGAUUCAGAAUCCCGACCGAAUGGUUUUUCAACUAUCACCCUGGUCCAGCCAUUCUUAGAAGAAGCUGACUUGCUUGCAGAUUUUACAACAUCUAUAAAUAUGUUUGGUGGAAUUGACAAAUAAAAUAGCCGGUUUGAUAAUCUCCCACCCUGUAAGCCCAAUUGAAAAAUCCAGGUAUUUACAGUUUAAUAAAUGUUUUCUUUAAUUAUGAAAUAUAUUUUUUGCAGAGGAGAAGCUUAACCACAUUAUAUAUUUGACGAUCCAAACAUAUUCAAGCUAUGCUAAUCGUCAUCAUCAUGACCUUCAUCAAAGCAACAAUGUCAUUUCUUAUUCAAGGUUCACAUAAAUGUCUUGCAAGUUAAAAAAGGUUAACAUAAAAGUCAUUUCACAUAGGUUAAAGACUUGAUUCAAAAUUAUUUUGCACUAGCUGCACUUAAGUGAAAGAAGAGGAUCUCAAAUUCAACUAAAGUAAAAGAAGUCAUUUGUCACAUGAAAUUGAAAUAUCAUCAGGCUACCUGAAAUAUCAUUUUAAUAAAAAAAUGUCAAAUCCCGAGAGACUCUCGAGGUUUUUGUCUGUCAAAACAAAAAACUCAAGCUUCACCACCAUAUAUGAUCCCUAGUUAGAAGCCUCAGUUAUAUCACUAGCAAACUUAAGACAAAAAAUGCUUCAGUUUUUUUGCAAAUCAAAACAAUUCCCCACGAACUAGCAUCAUCAGAUUUCUUGUCCAAAGAACUAAAAAUUUUGAGUUCCUAUAAUUUUACAUAAUUAUCUGGCAUGAGACUCAAAGAUUUACGUAGCUUUCAAAGGUGACAAAGCUUGGAAGACAAGCAAAAGUCCGCAGAACACUUCUGUGACAUAGCUGCCAUGUUUUUUUUUUCUUUUCCUUUUGUGUCUUCUUUUCUGUGUCUUUGUCCUUUUAUUAUUAUUUUUUGUUCUUUUCCUAACUUCUUGACUUUGCAUCUCUUCUUAUCCUUCAGUCUGUUUGAGGAAUCUUCCCAUUUUCCCUCAAAGAUGAAAAAAAAAAAAAAAGAUCACAGAGAAGCACCAUUGAACUACAACAUAACAAUAAUUACAUUAUGUAAAACAAGACAUGAUUAUUGUUGGAAAAGGAGGCUGGAGCUCCCAAUUUUGAGCUUGUAAAGUUGUAAAGACUUCCUCAUCUCAUAGAUACAAAUAUUACCUCAUGUUCUUUGAGUUCCUUGUCAAGAUCUGCAAAGUUUUCCUCGGAUUCAUAUUGACCUGAAUGAUAGAAACAUCUCUGUAGAAACUGUUCCAUCUUCUCAUUACAAUUCUCCCUGGGAAAAAUCAGCAGAAACAUUUAGCAUCAGCAGAGAUCAAAAUAAAUGGUCCUCAAAUCAAUUAUCUUGAAGGAAACAAAAGCAGAACUGUAUGACAAAAAAAACUAGCAUAACCUAAUUCAGUAUUAAUACAAAAAACCAUUAAUCACCUUUUAUCAAUUCUGCACGUUAAUGUUUUGCUAACCAUAGUUCUCAGUUCAGCAUCAGUCAUCUUACUUCGAGCAUAACCGAAUAUAGUGAAAUGCUGCAUUGAGAACAUAAUUACACACCUUAACACGAGAGUAAUCUAUAAAGGAAUGACUUGCACUACAAUUAUACGAACCGGACCUUUGGAAGGCAAUCUUCAUAAUAAAGUGCGAAAAGAGCAGGAAAUAUCUUCUUUUUGGCAAGGUCCCCAGAGGCUCCAACGACAGUGAUACUAACUGUAGGCUCCCUUUCACUUGAAUUGGGACCAAUCACAUCUCUGUAUUCCUCUGAAGAUAAACCAAGCAAGCCACCAAUUUCCACAUUCUUGGAAGGAGCUUCUUUUGGACUGGAUGCAGCCACAGUGCCAACUGCCGUGCAAUAAGGAGAACGAACCAGGGGAAAAGGUCAACACCAGAGGCAUGAAAUCAAGAACCAAAGAUCGACAGUAGAUGCAUCAACAACCAAAAUUCACUAAAGAAGAUUCGAAAAAAACAAAUCAGCCAUCCCAAAUAUAAGUCAAGCGAGGCGGAUCGAACGAGGUGAGGGUCAGAGCAAAGAAAAGGGACCGGACCUUCUUGCUUGCAGGCAACGCCCAAGUUCCAAUUUUUCGACGACGGUACCGCGACACUUCCCGCAAGAACGGUUCUAGGAAAGGGCCGUAGGAGGGUCGACCAUCUCGGAGGGGAGUGAUCGGGUGCCAGACGCGCGGCGGCGGAGGAAGAGGGGCAUUUGGCGACGGAAAGUGCCAUCUCUCCUCCUCCGGCAAAGAGAGACAGAGCAAGAGAGAGAGAUGAAUCGAGGGUUUUCCUCGGAAGAGAGACAGCAGACGAGAGAGGAUGUGGCAUUUGAAGGGCGGGGGACGGCAUCGGAAGCAGCGGAGAGGGUGGGUUCGUCUCGGUGGGGCCCAGAUCCUCUCCAUUACUUUUCCAGACGCACUCCAGUUCCGAUCGGACCGUCCAUAUUCAAAACCGGUGUCAUCAUCAUCGGGUCCCAUGUAAACCAACGGUCCUGAUCUAUCUACUGGUUCGCCGAUUAGGCCCGAAUCACCGAAGGCGACACCCCCCACCCUUGGAAGCAUCGAAGGGUUGUUUUCUCGGAAGAAGCCAUCCAUCACAGAGGACAAACUUGGAGAGCGGCAAGGGGCAGGUAUUGUUUUGGGUUGACGGAGCGAGUGUCUGCAGCUUUCCUUGGGAUUAAAUUAGGGUUAGGGUUUCCUAACUUAAUCGUCCAAUUGCUCGAUCGAACGAUCAAUUUGGUCGGUGUUUUAGGGUUAUGCUGUCCAAAGGAGAAGACGUUAUUAUUAGCAUCGACAAUUUAUCCGAAUUAUUAUAUUAUUGUAUCAUCACAUGAUGAUAAUAAAAGGGAAGAAAACUAAAUGGACACGCAUUUGUGCUCUUGACUUGCUUACACGCCUCCCUCGCCUCAAAAUCACGUCUCCUAAUGGGCGGGCCCACAUGACUCAAUCAAUGCGUCCAAUGGGCUCGGGCUCGGGCUCGACGUUGGAGACUAAAUCUAACUCCGAUCGGAUUCAUUGAUCGAUACUAUCAACAUUCAAAUUGAGAUACUGUAUAACAGUGAUUGAUAUCUACGGGUAGAAACCGCACACAAGAAGAAAGUAGCUCAGUUCAGCUUCGAUCGGAUUAGGGAUUCUUUUGUUGAACUCAGUUGGAAGCAUGAGAACACUGUGUUUUCCUCUCUCUCUCUCUCUCUCUAUUCUUUUGUUGAACUCAGUUGGAAGCAUGAGAACACUGUGUUUUCCUCUGUCUCUCUCUCUCUAUUCUUUUGUUGAACUCAGUUGGAAGCAUGAGAACACUGUGUUUUCCUCUGUGUUGGAAGCAUGAGAACACUCUCUCUCUCUCUCUCUCUCUCUCUCUCUCUCUACCACUGUUCACUGACAACGCAUGAGCGUAUUGGCUACGAGCCUCCUCUGCAUGGUAACCUUGGCAAUCAAGUCCUCGACUCUUCGGUUGAGCUCCUCUGUAGGCAUACCUUCUUCCUCCUCCUCCUCUUUGUCACGGUGGCUUCCUUCUCCUUCACUCCAGCUGCGGGACUUGGCUUCGCAUCAUGUGGUCGUCGUAAAUGUCGGGCUGUGCAGAAGACUCGAAGAGCCUCGACUCCCCGACGAGGAAGAUGAUGAUGACGUUGGAGACGACGAAUAUGAACUUGAGACUAGGGUGCCCAUGUGUGGAAGACAGACGAAGAAGAAGAACCUGAGAGAGGAGAAAAUGGUGGGGAGCCAGUGGGGACUCGACAUGAACAGACCAACCAGCACAACACGUAGCAUCGGCAUGCAGUGGUUCCUGCUACAUCUGCCCAUAUAACUCUAUCCAUGGCUGCAAGAAAGAAGGAAGAAGAUGAACUGGAUAUAGGGCAAUGCAAGACCAAGGUUAUAAAGGAAAGGGAAGGGGAGGUAAAUUCCAAUGGUGGGAUUCUCACAUCCCAGCAUCUCCUGCUCAUAUUAUUAGAUCUCUUCAGAGAAGCCAUGGAUUGGUGUCUGCUUGGAGCCCCACUCAUUCUCCUGUUCUAAGAAAUGGAACAGCUUAAAGCAUGAACAGCCUCCAAAAUGGCCUUCAGAGUCAUCAUGGCUACAUGGUAUAAGAAUGGAAGCUUUGAAGUAUAUGUCAACUCAAACCUUCUUUUCCUUGCGAAAAAGAUGGGGGAAAUGCAGAGUUCUGAUAGAGACACACAAAGCUUUUGGUUUGGGUUGUUCAUAGCCUUUGCAUGUCCGAAGCUACAGCUGCCGCGUGUGUGGAUCACAAGAGAGAGAGAGAGAGAGAGCUUAAGAGUGUAUCAAUCAAUUGAUUUAAUCUCGCUCUCAUAAUUACUUGAUCUGAAUAUAGUUCAUGAAGAAGGUAGCCUCAUCUCCUAUCCAAUUUACUUUGACGCAAUUGCACCAUUUAAUAUGUCGAUUGACCUACUCAAUCAUAAAAUUAAGUGCAAAUAUAAUCAAGAUCGAAGACGUUCGAUCCAUCUUCAAAUAUCCAUAGUUUCAACAUAAUAUCUCUCAUCCAUCUUCGGGUCGGGGUAUUAAAAAUGGUAUCUAGAAAUUUCUCACAAAUGCAUGAAGAGGAACUCAGUGACAGCAUUUGGUGGUGAAUUUCCAGUCUUUGAUUGAUUUCUAGUUGUUGUCAGUGAGUCGAGUAGAACAAAGAUUAAUAAACAUGACAAUACUCUUUAACUAAAUAUUCAAUUUGGAGAGAGAGAAAACAAGAUUGUAUUUGAUUGGAAUGCAUUCGAAGCUGGUCACUCAAGACAUACAACAUUACAUGGUGACACCAUGAGUUGCCUGGAACACUUUGUUAUAAUACCCAGAAGAGCAUGGGUUCACACCAACAUCCAUUUCCUUCUAAAUCAGGCCGCAUACUUUUUUCGAUGUGAGAAAACUUAUUCAUCACAGUUCAAUACUGGUGGAAUAACCAAUCACAUUGUCCAAUCUGAUGCUAAGAACACUAGAGUAGCAAAAGCCACAUCGUUCAUCGUGGCCACAGUUCAAUACUGUGUUUCUUUGACUAAAUGGUUCAUCUCAGCAUAUAGAGAGAUUCUCCGCAUGAGACUUACAUCGUGUUCGCUCUUUUAUCACUUCCAUGAAAUCAUAGGUGGUGCUCACAAAACUAAGCAAGAAGCCAAAACAUUGCACUCAGGUUAUGAUAGCAUUAUCCCUUGGCUUCUGAUUGAGAGGUUUGCUUCCUGUUAUGAUGUAUCGACCGAGGGACAAAAGCAAAGCCACGAGCAUUACGAUGACCAAAGCUUAUGCUCGAAGGAGAAGAAUCCGACGUGCUCAGCUUUGAUACAGCAGAAACAAGAUCAUCCAUCCUCUCCUCAACUUCCAUUUCUGUUUCCUUCCCCUCCUUGAGACUAGCCUUUUUUGGUCUAUACUUCUGGUAAAUUUGCUUCGAACUUUUCCUAUCAACAUCCAUAUCAGUAUUGUUCGAUGCCUCCUUUGGAUAGCUAGCUUGCCUUCGUAGAUGUUUUUGGCGUUGGUGCUUGGAAGGAUGUGCCCUUUUGUAGAAUUCAAAUGUGGUAGGAAACUUGUGUUUGUCAACAAGGUGCUGCUGUCGACUCUUAUAACUCUUCAACUUGACUCCACAGCCUUCGACCAAACAUUCAUACUGAUUCAUACAUGAUACUUUUACUUCAAAAAAUCAUACAAAUGAGAAACAUAAUUAUUUACAUAUCAAUCAUAAUAUUUUAUGAUCCAUAAGUCUUAAGUUCGAGAAAUAUAACUGCAGUUAGUAGCUUCAAAAUGACUAAGCAAUAACAAGAAGGUAUAAAUGAAAACCAUAAACUUGCAAGUUAUUUUUCUGAUGAGAUAGCAUUAGGUCCUUCAGGAAGGAGAACGAAAGCUACCAAAUAGGACACAUUGCAUGUUGCAGCAAAAUACCAAUGUGACAAUAUCAGAAACCAAAAGAAGUCUUCCCCCCUCAGGGCCAACAGGACAAGGCAUCACAACUUGCUCGACAGGAGAAAGGAAUCUCCUGUUCCUGAUGAUUGAAAAUUCAUAUAUGUGAUGUCUUUACUGACAUUCAACUAACCUCAACUUACUAUCAGGUGAUUGAGAAAACUCCCAUUGGAUAUAAGAAAGGCAACUUCUGUUCUACUCUUUCCAAUAAACCAGAAUAGCAUAGCACAUUUAUUUAUAAACCGCAGCGCACAACAUCAAGCCAAAACCGGUCUAUAAACGAAAUCCUGUCUUGUUGCCACUUUCCCCUUCUUUUAGAUAAUUCAACUAUUUUUGGUAUUGUUUCUAACAGCUAUUUUAGAAGUUGAAUUAGACUGUUAAUGAGUCUAUUCUGAGUGAUGAUUUCUGUCUAACAAAUGGAAAAUCCAUAUAGGUUCGAUUCAAAUUGAUUUAGGCCCCCUUCCUGCUAAAUUCUUCUUAGUACUUGUGCUCUUUAGGUGCAAUGCAUCGAAAACAAUGUUUCCUAUUCAAAGAUAAUUAUAUUAACUACAACACAAGGAAGCUAAAGGCAGGAUUAGAUAGACAAAUAGGUAAAGUUUCAGGGUUGUUAAGUCUGUUUUUGGGGUACACAUUGUUAAUAUCAGACUAUAGGGACCUCAGCUUUAAGAAAAAAGUAUGUUUAUAUUCAAAACUGAAAAAUAGUCCUCUUAUCUCAACUAUUUUUCUACAGCAAAAAUGUUUUUCCCUUCCCCUCCCUGAUUUGCUCUGUCCCUUAUCUAAUAGCAAACAUAUUACUCUUUGCUAUUUCAAGGGAACCUCAGGUUCAGUUGUCAACUGUAAGCUAACGAUAACUUGUGAUCAAAUCAUGCAAUUAUCAGUAAGCAUUUACACUUUUCCAACCAUCUAGUCAAAGAACCUUUAUAGAGUUCUUAACAACCAUCACAAGUAACCCAACAGAGUAAAGCAUUCAUCCCAUUCACAUACUUCACUUAAAUUAGAUUGGCAAGGGUCAAACUUUGCUAAGAAGCAAGAACCUGAUUAUGAGAGCUUCUCAGAUUAAGAAUGCACAAUUCAACUAUUAAAUAACUUGAAAUUAAGUAAAAAAUUUAACAUAAUUAGUCCCUCUUCAUUUUUAAAUUUUGAACUUUCAUUUUAAGAGCAAUGCUUAGGUUUUCAAAUUCUGAAAUUAGAUCCUGUGAGCUCACUGUUCUUCCUUUUUUUGUCAACAAUGUUUUCGUUAUGGUCUUGUUGUUGUGUAAGAACUAUUUACAAAAUCUAUUCUUUCCUAGAAAAGCAGUGCACUAUUUACAAAAUCUAUUCUUUCUUUUCUUCCAGUGCUACACAUGACGGUAGGAACUUUUUGCUGUACUAAAGAUAACAGAAAGGGAAAUACCAUCAGAAAACCGCGUGCAACUUUGGCCUGAAAGAAUGAAUCAUGGGCUUCAGAGAUAUGUAUACUAAGUAAACGUGAUGUUGGGAAAACUCUCGAACACACCGAACAUGAAGCAGUGUGACGAGCAUGGUAGUGAUCUUCAAAGUCCUCCAAACAAUCUAAUCGAGCAGCACAACCAACAAUAGGGCAAAAAACAGGUCUGCAAUCAAUAAGAAGUUAACCCACAAUACAUUGAUUAAUCGAAACGAGUAAAACUUUUCAAGUUUCAGAAAAAGUAAAUAACACUUUCUCUACUGAAGAUAUGAAUCCUGAUGCAGAAGUGCAAAACAUUGCAGUUUUACUUCUGAUCUACAAACUUAGAUAGGAGUUUGCUCAACAUUAGCAUGGUGACUGUGAAGUAUUUACUUGUGAAGACAAUUACUGAGUUCCAUACCAUUUCCACUAAUAUGGGAUUGAUUAUAUAAAAGACCCAAGAUCCAGAACAAAGAUUUAUAGUUUGAUGUCACGACAACAAGAUAGUGAUGUGACAACAAGUUGGUACUACCUCAGGGCCGGGCAGAUGGUGGAUAAGCAUUACUUUGGCAUGGUAUGAACUAUGAAGUCCCAAGCUCGACAACAACAGAAAAAUAUGGUGGUGGACAGACUGACAUGAGAGGUACAAGCAAUCCAUGAUUAGUAAUAUCUUAUGGAAAUUUAGUAGGAUCAAUUGUGAUAUGUAAAAUUAUCAUCAGCCUCAACAAAGUUGGUUUCAAAAUCCUAUCCAAAUGGAAGUUGCUUGUUAAUCCAGGACAAGUUGAUGGAUAAAAAAAGGUUUGAAAAUUGACAUUUAAGCUCAUGUAACUACAGAGGCACCCUCCAAAGUUCCAUUUGAAACCUACAUAAAAUUAUCGGGCAAAGGGCAGAAUGUACCAUGCCAAAAGUUAUUGGUGCAUGCCAUGUGGACCUAUUCUGAAAUGGUAACUGUUUUCGGCCUGUGUCAUGAAAUACACAACAACAAUAACAAUAACAACAAGAAACCGUACAGGAGUGGAAAAUCACUAAGGUACAUCUCAUAGUAUCUGAUUGGAUAAAUCAGAUAAUUAAAGCAAUGUAUCCAUAUCAAAGUAAGGCAGCAAGACAAAAAAUUUAAUGGUUCAAAUAAGAUUGACCGGCAGGAACACGACAAACACCAUUGAGAACAAUAUAUACUACUAGUACUACUACUAGGUUCAGUAAAGAAAUCUGCGAACCUCAAAAAUAAGAUACUAGCAAAGAGUCACAGUAAAAAAUAUAAACAACUUAUCAUUAAAUUCCAAGACUUGAUUACAAUGGCCAAAUUAUGCCAAGAAAAUUUCAAAAUAUUCAUAAACAAUGUAGAAGUCUUGUGAGAAAAAAGUGCAUACUCAGUGUUUGCAACUUCCAUUUUCUGGAGCUGAUAUCUUUCAUCUUCAGUUAGAUCCAAUGCUACCUAAAAGAAUUAUGAAGAGACACACAAAGAAAGAAAAACAUGUUACAUGUAAAAGUUAGAUUGCGCUAGUGGCAUCUUAAAUCAUGGAUGAAAUCAAGAAAAAUAUGCACACAUGCUAUUGACUAACAAAAUGUAUGCAUAAAAAUAAUCAAAACAAGUACUGGAAAGAAGCUAAAUAGUCAUCAUCUCCUAGCCUUUUCCCAUCUAUGUAAAAUCAAAUAAUGCAAAUUACAUGGAGGACAUUGAAAAAUUAUUCUCCAAUCCUUACCAACCAGAUAUGAACCUUCUAAGGCUUAUUUUGAAUUGGUGAAGAUAAGCAAAGGCAGUCAAAGGGAAAAUAAGGAGUGGAAAGAUCUGCUCCAUGAUUGUGCUUAGACUCAUAAGCCUAGUCUCUGAAGACAGCAAAUCUUAUAGUGGAAAAUCCUAAGUGAUUACUGAACAACACAUUAUCUACUUACACUCAGUUGACAAUGGAUAUUACUAAAGGUAAAAGUUUGGGCAUCUGGAAAAAGUUAUUUUUUACCUUGUUAAAUAUAAUAAAUGAAGAGUUGAAGCCCAAUUUUACUAUCAACAGACGAACAAGGCUGUCAAAUACUCAUCUCAUUCGUGUAUUUGCCUGAACGAGAUAGUCAUGCUACCUGGAGAGUUCCUAAUACACUGAAGCAAAUCAUCUAGGAAGAUCUAUUCUUCAGUUGUGAUGCAAAUAGUAUCGGCUUUUCAAAGAGUUUGUACGGAUUUAUCUCCCUUUGUUUACACUUUAGCCCCUGUUCUUCUUGUGAACGGUUGAUCUCCGCUAUAAACACACGGGAUUAUUUGAUCCCUACAAUUCUGUAGAGAUUUUCCCCCAAAUUAUAACCUGAAUCGAAUCGGUAUUCAGAUACAAUGAAUCGGUCAGAUCCCGACCUUCACAAACCCUAAGAUUAAAACUUUGCCACGAAUCAACGAAAAAUGUGCAAACAACAAACAGACAUCGUGAGGGCUUCUGCAUAAGAAAUAAGCGUUAAAGAAAGCAAGGAGGACCGGGUAGAGCAGACAAAGAGAAGGAGAGGGCUUACUUGUUUGGCGAGGAGCUCGCGUUCGAUAUUCCCGGCGGAGAAGAAGGGGUCAUCGGGCAUAAGCCUUCGCCGUGAUGCGAUCCACCACCGGGACCCCAGCCCUAAUUCCUCUCCGCCGCUUGAUUCCAUCGCCAGCGACUGCAGAAGGGUUUCGAGCUUCGAAUUCGAACGGGCAGUGCGCGUCGAAGUCGGCCGUUCCGUCGCACGAGAACGAGAUCGUUAUAUAUAUGCGCCUCCGAUUCCCAACGCUUACAUGUCCGUUACAAAAUAAUAAUAAUACGUAAAAUAAAAGAUGGUUUUCUUAAAAAAUACUAUGAUAUUUUAUAAUAUAUAUAUAUAUCCCUUAUUUUCUUUUUUAAAAAAUAAUAUUUUUAAUUUAAAAUAUUUAAAUUAUCCCUCAAAUUUUUUUUGUUUAUUAGAGUAUUUUGACUACCAUAAUAAAAAUAUUAUAAAUAAUUUAAGUGGGGACUUCUAACCUCAAUAAAACAAACUAUAAACUUAAAAAUAUGCCAUUAUAAUAGUUUAUGAGUAAUUACAAUUAAAAAUACAUAAUUUGAUAUUACUUAUAAUUUUUUUAAAAUAAUAUUUUAUUAGAAAAACCUGAGACAAACAAAAGCACUGCAACAUUCGAAUGCUGAUUAAAAACAAUAUUGACAAAAAAAACUUUUAAGAGAUAUUUUAGGUAUUUUAUUAAAUUAGGAUUACUGUUUAGGAAAUAUCUUCUAUAAAAUAAUUAAAUAUAAAUAUUCAUAUAAAAAAAUAUAAAAUAUAUUUGUUAGAGCAAAUGACGAAUAAAGAGAUUUCCUUAUAUAGUUAAAAAAUCUUAUCUACUAUCAAAUCCUCUAAUCUAAUCUGCUAAUCAUCAACACCUCACACUAACCCAUCAACUCUACUUUACCACCUUGGCUCCGCCUGACCAACAAAAAAAACCUUGUUAAUCCACAUAAUAGGGUUGUAUGGCUAAUGAGCUGACUCCAUAUCAUCAACACCAUUGGUUUCACAUCGAAGAGAUAUGGAUUUUAUACACGGUGGCCAUGUCAUUUUUCUAUAUUCAACACAGGUUUAUUGCAAUUACAAUCAAACUUUAUGCCCACAUUAUUAUAUGAAUUGCACUAUAAAUAAGAAUGCAUAGGUAUAACUAAAGAGAACAAUUUAUGUUUGUGUAAAAUUUUAGAAGAAUAUUAUCGAUAUAGUAUUACAAGAUUUUGAAUACUAUUUGGAGGAGUUUGCUUUCAGACCGGCUCAAUAAAAGAAUCAAGUUGAAUUUAAAUUAAUUUUCAACUUGGAUAAUUAAAAUUUAUUAUGAUAAUAUCAAAACAAAAAUAUGAUUAAAAAAAAUUAUUCAAAAAGGUUGUGCCGACAAAUAUGAUUGAAUGUGUGGUAAAGAGGGUACCAGUGCAAUAAAUAAAUGUCUUGGAAAGUUCAAAAGCAAACGCAAUCCAUUGUAAACAUCCUAAGAAGUUACUCAUCAUAUGAUAUGAUACCUCACAAACCAUCAAGUGAUGGAAAGGAGGAGCAUGGUGCAUGCAUGACUCUUAAUUAAAUGAUGACCUUUCAAUAUUUCAAGCUAGAUUUCGUUUUUUAAGCAAAAUAAAAAAAAUUGUUUUGAGUCCUCCAACGUUUUUAUAGUUAGAAAGGUUUUAAGAUAUAAUUUUGAAUUCCAUAAUAAGUAAAUUUUAGAUAGGGUUAAAGGUGGACUUUAGCUCUAUCAUUUUUGGUAAUGCACUAUUUAAGUUUUUAUAAUUUACUUGUGUUUAAAAUAAUUUUUAUAUUUUUUAAAACAUAACAUAUAAGUCUAAAUUAACGUACGUUAGAGUUUGCUUACAUAAUAAACUCAUAAUAAACUAUUAAUAUAAUGACAUAUAUAAUUUAAGUAAAAAAAUAGAGUCCAUUUUAACCCUUGUGGUUUUUGUCAUAAACCGUUUAGGCUCUCAUAUUUUAGUUUGUGUAUAAAAUAACUUCUACAUUUUUAAAAAUAUAACAUAUAAGUCCCUUAUGUUAAAUUUGAGUUGACAUAUGUUAGAGUCUGAGUUCACAUGUUGACUCACAAUAAAUCAUUAAUAUAAUAACAUAUGUAAUUUAAGUUAAAAAAAUAUUUAUCUUAUCGAGGAAGAAGAAGCGAUGGAGGUUACAAUGACAGAUAAGGCAGAGAGUCAAAAGUAAGAGAGGCCGAAGGCGAAGAUAAGAGAGAGCUGAACCACCAUGUCGCGAUGGGUGCAAGCGUAGGAGAGUACGAAGUGAGAGACAACGGGGGACGAAGAUGCCCAAAAUGAGGAAGAGAGAUUAAGAGACCAUUGCAUUGCCAACGUUGGACUGGUCAAUGCAUAUCCACCUGAGGUAGGACCGGAAGCUCCUGAACUUAUCGUCAAUGCGGGAGAGGCCACGUGUGUACAACGCCCUGUUAGGCAACAACGACUCAUCUCACCAUUGAUGGUGAUCUCAAUUUUUUAAUUUAAAUUAUAUGUAUUAUUAUAUUAAUAGUUUCUUAUAAGUCAGUAUACCAUGCAAGCAAAGUCUAACGUCUGUUAAUGAGACUUAAUAGGAGGGGCUUAUAUAUAUAUUACUUAUAGGUGCCCUACAAGCUAAUCACAUGAAUGAUGACACUUGUGACACGUUGCGAUAAUAUCUUUACUUAUUAUUACUGUCAUUUUAUCACAUAUUAAUUGGAUGUAUAUUGUAAUGUCUUUAAAUCUGUGAAAUAAGAAUUGAAUCAUGAUAAGAUUAUGAUAAUAAGACUGAUUUAUCUUUAAACACAGACCCUAAGUUAUCAUAGUCAUAGGUUAUUUAAGAAGGACAACGAGAUAACCGGAUAGAGCGGUUCAUUGUAUACUCAUUUAUAUAAUGGAGGCGAUUGGUCUCAUAGUCGCUUGUGUAUAAACACUAGAUGUAUAGUGCAAGUGCUCAUUGGAAAAUGAGUUCACUGAUUGAUCCGCUUACAAAAUACUAUAUGGUUAAUGAUACCUGAUGUUAGACAAUGAUUCUGUAGUCUAAAUUGUGUAUCUAGUCCUUAAACUUAAGACACAAAAAAUGUCUUAUAUGAGUACUCUAUUCUUUGAUGUUGGAGUUAUAGGUUUGAAAGUUUCAGAUCUGGUAUAAUUGAUUCUCGAGAAUAACAACUAACUUUACAAAGACGAUUGAGUGUCAACAGAAGAUCAUCCACUCUCAGUAUCGCGAGAGGAAUAUCCCAUGCGUACUCAUUCAAACAAAAUCUCUAGCUAGGGUUGUUCGGAUUAGAAAAUCCGAUUAGAGCGAGACUCAAAUAAGAUUUCAUAUGGGCCUAACAUUACCAUGCCCAAUAUACAAUCUUUGAGAUAUUAGAUAAAUGAGGGGUUAUAGACACAUGAUAACUAACGAUAGAUAUGUUCAAUGGAGUAGAUCCCCUAUAUCAUUUGGGGACUAUGACAUAGUAGCUCAGUACGAAUAUAGUCGAUGAAUCGAGUGAAUUAUUAUGAAGAUAAUAAUUCACUAUAUCAAAAGAAGUUCUAAUAGGAUCGACUCACGGCCAACUCAGUAUCAGACCUAAAGAGUCACAUAUAUAUGGUAGAUAUUACAACGAGUAGAGGUAUAAAUAUGAUGAUUGGAUAAGUGGAUAAGAUCCAAUUUGAUGAUUGGAUAUAGGUCAAAUUAGAUGGUUGGAUAAGAUCUAAUUGAAUAAUCGAAUAUAGAUCUAAUGAGAUUCAUAGGCUAGAACUAUUGAUGGUCGUCGCCUUACGGUGUGCGUGGAGAGGGAGAUCCUAUAGCGAUAUGAGCAUUAUAUCCCUUGUGUGGAUCAUCGCUAAGAGGAGUACGCGAGUUCUCUUUCAUCUCUUUCAUCUAUUCCGUUGAAUCUGAAAAUUUCGAGGAUAUACGAUCUCCCCAAGUAACACUUCUCACACGAUACAUAUGAUUUUUUGAUUUUACAGUUUUCUCGUGCACCAAUCGUCACACAACGACCAAGUACUUAAAUUUGAAAAUUCUGAUUUUAUUUAUUGUUUUCCGUUGCGCUUGAGAUACUGACUUAUGAUUUCUUAGUAAUAUACUAUAUUUUUAAAAAUAUAUGUAUUAUUUUACACAUGAGCAAAACUAUAAAAGCUUAAGUGACCAAAAUCAUAUGAGCUAAAAUAGAUCUUUUUUAAAAUUUAAAUUAUAUAUAUCAUUGCAUUAAUAAUUUAUUAUGAGUUAACAUGACACCUGAGUAAUAUUUGUUAACUUAGAUUCAUGGGAGAGACUUAUAUACUAUAUUUUUAAAAAUAUAAGAGUUAUUUUAGACACGAAUAAAUCAUAAGGCCUCCUUAGGGUACUGAACCACCAGCUCCUCGUCGGUUGGGGUGGAACCUGAACCCAGGUGGGAGCCUCAGCACUCCAUGCCUCGCAACAGCACCCGGCUUCCUAUCCAUCUGCAACUCGAACCAGGAAACAGAGGAAAGAAACUACUGCACCCAGCAGCAACAACAACGACAGCGAGGUCUCUCUUUGUCGAGCUUAAGGUCGAUUCAUGCUUUUUCUUCGUCCGGUUAGCGGAAAGAAGGUGCAAGGAGUAAGUGGACAAGGAGGUGGAGAGGGCGAGAGCGUGGGUGGGGGUGGGGAUGUGGGUGAGGGAGUGGUGGUGGUGGUGGUGG